rnacentral:rRNA from 1 species
UACGUAGGGGGCCAGCGUUGCUCGGAAUUACUGGGCGUAAAGGGUUCGUAGGUGGUGCGGCAAGUUGGGAGUGAAAUCUCUGGGCUUAACUCAGAGGCUGCUUUCAAAACUGCCGCGCUCGAGUGCGAGAGAGGUCAGUGGAAUUGCAGGUGUAGCGGUGAAAUGCGUAGAUAUCUGCAGGAACACCCGUGGCGAAGGCGGCUGACUGGAUCGCAACUGACACUGAGGAACGAAAGCGUGGGGAGCGAACAGG